rnacentral:rRNA from 1 species
UACGUAGGGUGCGAGCGUUGUCCGGAAUUACUGGGCGUAAAGAGCUCGUAGGUGGUUUGUCGCGUUGUUCGUGAAAACUCACAGCUCAACUGUGGGCGUGCGGGCGAUACGGGCAGACUAGAGUACUGCAGGGGAGACUGGAAUUCCUGGUGUAGCGGUGAAAUGCGCAGAUAUCGGGAGGAACACCGGUGGCGAAGGCGGUUCUCUGGGCCUUACCUGACGCUGAGGAGCGAAAGCGUGGGGAGCGAACAGG